rnacentral:rRNA from 1 species
AUUGAACGCUGGCGGCAGGCCUAACACAUGCAAGUCGAACGAGUGGCGGACGGGUGAGUAAUGUCUGGGAAACUGCCUGAUGGAGGGGGAUAACUACUGGAAACGGUAGCUAAUACCGCAUACCAUCAGAUGUGCCCAGAUGGGAUUAGCUAGUUGGUGGGGUAACGGCUCACCAAGGCGACGAUCCCUAGCUGGGCUUAGAGGAUGACCAGCCACACUGGAACUGAUAACAGGCCCAGACUCCUAAGGGAGGCAUCAGUUGGGAAUAUUGCACAAUUGGCGCAAGCCUGAUACAGCCAUGCCGCGUGUAUGAAGAAGGCCUUCGGGUUGUAAAGUACUUUCAGCGGGGAGGCGUUACCCGCAGAAGAAGCACCGGCUAACUCCGUGCCAGCAGCCGCGGUAAUAC